rnacentral:rRNA from 1 species
GAUGAACGCUGGCGGCGUGCCUAAUACAUGCAAGUCGAGCGAACAGAUGAGGAGCUUGCUCCUCUGACGUUAGCGGCGGACGGGUGAGUAACACGUGGAUAACCUACCUAUAAGACUGGGAUAACUUCGGGAAACCGGAGCUAAUACCGGAUAAUAUAUUGAACCGCAUGGUUCAAUAGUGAAAGACGGUUUUGCUGUCACUUAUAGAUGGAUCCGCGCCGCAUUAGCUAGUUGGUAAGGUAACGGCUUACCAAGGCAACGAUGCGUAGCCGACCUGAGAGGGUGAUCGGCCACACUGGAACUGAGACACGGUCCAGACCCCUACGGGAGGCAGCAGUAGGGAAUCUUCCGCAAUGGGCGAAUGCUUGACGGAGCAACGCCGCGUGAGUGAUGAAGGUCUUCGGAUCGUAAAACUCUGUUAUUAGGGAAGAACAAAUGUGUAAGUAACUAUGCACGUCUUGACGGUACCUAAUCAGAAAGCCACGGCUAACUACGUG